UAUUGGUCAAUGGUCGGGAGACUGAACCGGCCAAGCCGCGUGAGGGAUGAAGGUACAGAGUAUCGUAAACCUCUUUUGUCAGGGAACAAAGGCGGGGACGCGUCCCCGGACGAGUGUACCUGCAGAACAAGCCUCGGCUAACUCCCUGCCAGCAGCCACGGUAAUACGGAGGAUGCGAGCGUUAUCCGGAUUUAUUGGGUUUAACGGGUGCGCAGGCGGUCUGUUAAGUCAGCGGUCAAAGCCCGGGGCUCAACCCCGGUCCGCCGUUGAAACUGGCAGUCUCGAGUUGGAGAGAAGUAUGCGGAAUGCGCGGUGUAGCGGUGGAAUGCAUAGAUAUCGCGAAGAACUCCGAUUGCGAAGGCAGCAUGCCGGCUCCACACUGACGCUGAGGCACGAAAGCGUGGGUAUCGAACAGG
rnacentral:rRNA from 1 species